rnacentral:rRNA from 1 species
GCAGGCGCGUAAAUUACCCACUCCCAGUUCGGGGAGGUAGUGACGAAAAAUAACAAUACAGGACUCAUAUCCGAGGCCCUGUAAUUGGAAUGAGUACACUUUAAAUCCUUUAACAAGGACCUAUUGGAGGGCAAGUCUGGUGCCAGCAGCCGCGGUAAUUCCAGCUCCAAUAGCGUAUAUUAAAGUUGUUGCGGUUAAAACGUUCGUAGUUGAAUUUGUGCUUCAUACAGGUAGUACAGCUAUAAUUGUAGUUUGUACAUUACCUUAUGUAUGCAAGCGUAUUAUCGGUGGAGUUCUAAUAUAUAAUAGUAGUAAAUAUUAUUAUUAUAUAUACCUCCUAUUUGAAACCUAUUUCAGUGCUCUUUAUCGAG